rnacentral:lncRNA from 1 species
ACUAAUAGUUGGUCUCCUUUUUGUUAUCACAAUACACCUGCUGUUCUAAACAAUGCCAGUAAGAAAAUACUCAUCCAAAAAAAAAAAAAUCCUUGUUUUGCCUGAGUUCUAAAUAAUUACUACAGUUACUAUUAGGUUUUCAUAAUGUACGUGUAAGCUUUAAAUUAGCAAUUUUAAAAUUAUUUAUCUUUUAAUAAACAUUGUAUUCUACAUGGACGUUAACUUGGAGUACUCCGUUCUACAGUUGUACCCAGACACACACAGACCCAACUACCUGUGAUUUUUCUAGGGUUGAAACUUCCUAGCUCAUCAAAUACAACACAAUCCCAAUGGGAGAGAUUGAGGUUGGAUAUAUCUUCCAAAGAAUGCCACUUUCUAAAAAGGAUAGUGUUUCCACUGCAACAGUUUCAGUUCCCUGGAUAGAAUCUUCUGCUCAUGUCCACUUACAAGCAGAUUUUCUUCCAUCUCUGCCACUCCUGAGAUAGCAAGACCAACCCCUCCUCUUCCUCCUCAACCUACUCAAUGUGAAGAUGAUGAGGAUGAAGGCCUUUAUGAUGAUCCACUUCCACUUAAUGAAUAUGAAAAUCAAGAGGCUGGGCCUUGAAGCAUCUCAGCAAGCAUGACGUCCUCUACACCAUACCCUCUGGCCUGGGGUUCAGCAGUCUUCACCAUUCCCAUUCCCUGAACCCCUCAAAAUCAGGAAUACAGGUAGGAACAAAAAGUGGGCAGCCCACAUAGCAGGCAAAGCUAAUGGAACUAGCCUGCCAGGAACGGGGACUGAGAGGAAAACUCUUUACACGUUUCUGUUUUUCUAUCUUUCCUUUUCACGUUUUUUGUUUUGUUUUGUUUUUGU